rnacentral:rRNA from 1 species
GAUGAACGCUGGCGGUAUGCUUAACACAUGCAAGUCGAACGGACUCUUCGGAGUUAGUGGCGGACGGGUGAGUAACGCGUGAGAAUCUGGCUUUGGGUUCGGGACAACCACUGGAAACGGUGGCUAAUACCGGAUGUGCCGAGAGGUAAAAGAGAAAUUGCCUGAAGAUGAGCUCGCGUCUGAUUAGCUAGUUGGUGAGGUAAAGGCUCACCAAGGCAGCGAUCAGUAGCUGGUCUGAGAGGAUGACCAGCCACACUGGGACUGAGACACGGCCCAGACUCCUACGGGAGGCAGCAGUGGGGAAUUGUCCGCAAUGGGCGAAAGCCUGACGGAGCAAUACCGCCUGAGGGAAGAAGGCUCUUGGGUUGUAAACCUCUUUUCUUAGGGAAGAACAAAAUGACGGUUCCUAAGGAAUCAGCAUCGGCUAACUCCGUG